rnacentral:tRNA from 1 species
GCGCUCGUGGUGGAACUUAGGUAGACACGCCGGUCUUAGAAGCCGGUGCCUUCGGGCGUGGGGGUUCGACUCCCUCCGGGCGCA